CAACCAGCCCCCUGGUUUCAUAUAUAUAUAUAUAUAUAUAUAUAUAUAUAUAUAUAUAUAUAUAUAUAUAUAUAUAAUAUGUGUGUGUGCGUGAAACCAGGGGGCUGCACU